rnacentral:rRNA from 1 species
AUCUAUGGCCAUACCACCCUGAACACAAUGUAUCUGAUCUUGUCUGAUCUUAGAAGCUUAGCAGGGUCCGGUCUGGUUAGUACUUGGAUGGGAGGAGCUAAUUAAUGAUAGUAUUAGCUAAAGCUA